rnacentral:rRNA from 1 species
GACGAACGCUGGCGGCGUGCUUAACACAUGCAAGUCGAACGGAAAGGCCCUGCUUUUGUGGGGUGCUCGAGUGGCGAACGGGUGAGUAACACGUGAGUAACCUGCCCUUGACUUUGGGAUAACUUCAGGAAACUGGGGCUAAUACCGGAUAGGAGCUCCUGCUGCAUGGUGGGGGUUGGAAAGUUUCGGCGGUUGGGGAUGGACUCGCGGCUUAUCAGCUUGUUGGUGGGGUAGUGGCUUACCAAGGCUUUGACGGGUAGCCGGCCUGAGAGGGUGACCGGCCACAAUGGGACUGAGGUACGGCCCAGACUCCUACGGGAGGCAACAGUGGGGAAUAUUGCACAAUGGGCGGGAGCCUGAUGCAGCAACGCCGCGUGCGGGAUGACGGCCUUCGGGUUGUAAACCGCUUUCGCCUGUGACGAAGCGUGAGUGACGGUAAUGGGUAAAGAAGCACCGGCUAACUACGUG